ensembl:lncRNA
CCCGAGCUCAGGAUUGCGGACCCUGGAGCUGUGAGGCCGCAAAGCUUCCCGCUAGAUUACAGUGAAAGACAAGGGGACAGUCCAUGAUGUGCUGCUACCUGCCUGGUGCACACCUGUCGGCUCUGUCUUCUCCUCAAUAGCACCUUCACCUUAGAUCAUCUCCUCUUCCUUUACGCAUGACUGGUGCCUAGCUAUAGCAUAGAAAAAGGUGAACGCCGAGUGCCUCUUCCCUUUUCCUCUGGUGCUUUGAAGUAUAAAGUGUGAUUGCCGUUGGAUUGCAAAUGCUUUCCUUGAAGGCUUUGACAUGAAAAAGCAGCCCGGGCUCUCUGGUUUAGCCCAGCGCCAAUGAUCCGGGACUAAAGCAAUCAGCCCUGAUGACUAUAAGGAGAUACAAUUACCACAGG